UCGGGUAAGGGUGAAAACGUGAGGUAAGAGCUCACGCCGCCGUCAGUGAUGCCGGCGGGGGUAAACCUUAUGGGUUGAAAGACCAAAUAAACCGGGGCUUGAGGGCUGCUCGUCCGACCCGGAGGGUAGGUUGAUAGAGGCCUGUGGCGACGCAGGUCCGAGAUAAAUGACAACAUAGAACAGAACCCGGCUUACGGGUUUUCCUUUUUU
rnacentral:RNase_P_RNA from 1 species